rnacentral:lncRNA from 1 species
GAGGCCUCCUCUGACUUGCUCUAGGGAAAGGGGCUGCUACUUUGUUCCUGUCAGGUAUCUUCUAGGUCCUUCAUGGGGACCAGGCACUAGUUGAGGCCAAAGAGGAGACAAAGACUGACUCUGACUUCAGGAGCUCACAGUUUUGCGGGAACACAGGACUUUGCCCCAGAGACAGGGUCUUGCUCUGUCACCCAGACUGGAGUGCGGUGGCGUAAUCAUAGCUCACUACAGCCUCGAACUCCUGGGCUCAAGCAGUCCUCGCAGCUCAGCCUCCCGAGUAGCUGGGACUACAGAUGUGAGCCACAGCACCUGGCAAAGUUCUGCUUCUUGAUGAGAGAUGUUACUAAAUCAUAUUGCAAAGGGAGGGGUGGAGAAUUGCGGCCAUUUUUGCAAUCAAUCUAACGCAACACCCACUUGUGAAAGACAGAAACCUGGGUGACAUCCUGAGUCCUUCCUCCCACUUCUCCGACAUCCGUUACCUCACCAAGCCAAUUUGAUUUUCACCCCCCAAAACGCCAUUCAACUUUUCCUAUUGCCACCACCCCAGUCCAAGGAACUUGUCUACCUGGUCUACUCACAUUUGCUGUAGCUGUGCUCUACUAUCGUGGCCACAUAGCAGCCUAUAGGACUUCUUCAAAGUACAAGCCAGGUCCCAUCAUUUCUCCCUGCCCAUACCCUUCAAAGACUCUGUAUUAGUCCAUUCGCAGUUGCAAGCAGAAGAAACAGGCUCUGAUUAUGGCAAAAAAAAACACAA